GAUGAACGCUAGCUACAGGCUUAACACAUGCAAGUCGAGGGGAAACGAUAGAGAAAGCUUGCUUUUUCUAGGCGUCGACCGGCGCACGGGUGAGUAACGCGUAUCCAACCUGCCCAUCACUUGGGGAUAACCUUGCGAAAGUAAGACUAAUACCCAAUGACGUCUCUAGAAGACAUCUGAAGGAGAUUAAAGAUUUAUCGGUGAUGGAUGGGGAUGCGUCUGAUUAGCUUGUUGGCGGGGUAACGGCCCACCAAGGCGACGAUCAGUAGGGGUUCUGAGAGGAAGGCCCCCCACAUUGGAACUGAGACACGGUCCAAACUCCUACGGGAGGCAGCAGUGAGGAAUAUUGGUCAAUGGGCGAGAGCCUGAACCAGCCAAGUAGCGUGAAGGAUGACUGCCCUAUGGGUUGUAAACUUCUUUAUAAAGGAAUAAAGUCGGGUAUGCAUACCCGUUUGCAUGUACUUUAUGAAUAAGCAUCGGCUAACUCCGUGCCAGCAGCCG
rnacentral:rRNA from 1 species